rnacentral:rRNA from 1 species
UACGGGGGGAGCAAGCGUUGUUCGGAUUUACUGGGCGUAAAGGGCGCGUAGGCGGCGCAACAAGUCACUUGUGAAAUCUCCGGGCUUAACCCGGAGCGGCCAAGUGAUACUGUCGUGCUAGAGUGCGGAAGGGGCUACUGGAAUUCUCGGUGUAGCGGUGAAAUGCGUAGAUAUCAGGAGGAACACCAAUGGCGAAGGCAGCACUCUGGGACGUGACUGACGCUGAGACGCGAAAGCGUGGGGAGCAAACAGG